GGAGAGAUGGCCGAGCGGCCGAAGGCGCUCGAUUGCUAAUCGAGUAUCCUGCAAAACGGGAUCGAGGGUUCGAAUCCCUCUCUCUCCGCCG
rnacentral:tRNA from 1 species